AAAUUAAAAGUCAGUGUUUUUAGCUUUUAUCAUUAGAGUAUUCUCUAUACUGUCAGGGGAGACUGCUGCAUUCUGUUUCAACUGGUGUGAGAUACAAAAGACACACAAAUGGAUACGUUUAAGAUCCACAGCUUAUGGAUUGUAUCCAAGGGUGACAAGCUCAAAAAAGGACAAAAAAAACACCAAAAAGCAAGGAAAAUCCAGAGGGAACCCAUGGUGAAUUCUCUUCCGGGUUUUUGGACUACACACUGAACAGCUCUAUUCAAGCUUGAAGUACCACCUAAUUUUACAGCGGGGGGCAGUAAGCGCAAAUCCAGCUGUACAGACGCACAGCUGUACAGGCAACAAACUACAGACAUGACAGCAGAUAACAAGAUGAGGACUCAUUCUUGCGUUCAUUCAAACACAGCUGGAUGGAGCGCAACUCCGAUUACGGGGGUCUAAAAACAUGUUUUUCUAAGUUUCUAACUUGACACAGUGUCCUAAAAUGCUGUUUAUGAUGCGAUGCAACCACAGUGAGACACCCCAAAAUCGUCCGUCUGACACAUGUGUACACUGAUGCGUCCUUAGAAAAGGACAGAUUGACAAAUUCAAUUGUAAAAUGAAUUUCUAGCACUGUAGGCCAAUGAUAGGCUUGUUUGAAAUGAUAUGGAAAUUAACAAUAUAUUGCCUUCUAAAGUCACUUUUUGUAUUGUCUUAUAUCAAUGUUGUACUUGUUUGAACAAUAAUGUAAUGUUUAUUUAAUUUCUGAAUUAUUGUAUUUAUUGUAUAAAUUACAUUUAUAAUUAUUUAAAAAUGAUUAUUUAUAAUUAUUUAAUCAUUAUCAGUAUCAGUAUUCUCUGCAAAUACUGAUAAAUGCUGUUUUACUAGUGCAACAGUAAAUAGUGAUAAGUUGGCAAAGCCAUUGGAGAAUUUAUUGCUCCCACAGUGUAAGCAGUCACGUCCCAUACUGUUUGAAAAACUUGGUUACAUAAGACGCUUCAUGUGCAGUGUUAUCAGAAUGAAACACGUUGUUAAGUAGUCAGUCAUCAUUUUGAGCAAAGACAGAAUGCCCUGAAGAAAUCUACAGCGCAUGAACAUAUGCUCUGAAUAGUAAUUGUAUUUUAUUAUAUCUUAUGAAAUAUUGUUAAUUGAAUUUCAAGUCCUAUAAUAGAGUUCUAAAACUAAGGGCAUUGCUCUGCAUCCAGCAUCCACACAGUAAUAAAAUAAAAUAAAUAAAAGUGCACUUCUGCUCUAGUAUCGCACUACCGUGGUACUAGCACUUGUAUUUUGUUCUCCUUUAGAUUAAUUGUUUGCUUGUAUUAUUCUCAUUUGUAAGUCACUUUGGAUAAAAGCAUCUGCUAAAUG